CGAUAACCAAGAGAGAGCAAAAAGGGGCCGUGACAGGGACACGACCAACAGUCCAACCAAGGGGAGACAGCGCGAGCCAGGCCGAUUUGGGUCGCGCGAUACCACGACAAAUAGAGACGCUAUUCGAUUGGUGGGUCAGUCUGUCGGUCCCUGAGAGGGAAAGAAAAAGGUGGCCAUGGGGCAGACGGCGACAUAAAAAAAGAGAGACACUCAAUUGAUCCGUCGCCACUUCGUGGCCUCGAAGAGAGAAAGAUUUUGAGGGUAUUCUUUGCGGAGGCGACAUAAAGAGGCGACGCAAGCCGUCGGGCGGGGCAGACGGGCGGCCGAGGACAGUGGCGCCGCCGACGGCAAAUGGAGGGCGGCAUUUGUUUGAGGCAGCGCCUUUGCAGAUAGAGGGGAAAAGGCGAGAGGAAAACCCAAGAGAGAAAAGGAGGUAAUGCCAAAAGCGCCCGAGGUGCAAGAGAGUGGAGAAACACGGCGGCGACGGCGGCAGCGCGGCGCGCAACAAGACACGGACCGUGUUUGUCGGAGGGCGGGUAAAAUCGCAGGGCGACACAGCGGGCGGCCGGCCUGCUGGCGCGCGCCAACAACACCCAAACCGACCCUCUGAACAUUUCAGAGGUACAGGGAUAUAUGUAGGAAAAAACCUGUAUUAAUCCAGGUAUUUAUGAAUUGAAAAAUCGGGAAAAAAG
rnacentral:lncRNA from 1 species